CAGUCGCCGCGGUAAUACGGAGGGGGCUAGCGUUGUUCGGAAUUACUGGGCGUAAAGCGCACGUAGGCGGCUUGGUAAGUUAGAGGUGAAAGCCUGGAGCUCAACUCCAGAAUUGCCUUUAAGACUGCCGAGUUAGCAGGUGAGAGAGGUAAGUGGAAUUCCGAGUGUAGAGGUGAAAUUCGUAGAUAUUCGGAAGAACACCAGUGGCGAAGGCGGCUUACUGGCUCAUACUGGACGCUGAGGUGCGAAAGCGUGGGGAGCAAACAGGAUUAGAUACCCCGGUAGUCCCUGUCUCUUAUAC
rnacentral:rRNA from 1 species